rnacentral:rRNA from 1 species
GGGCCUGCGUUCCAUUAGCUAGUUGGUAGGGUAACGGCCUACCAAGGCGACGACGGGUAGCUGGUCUGAGAGGACGACCAGCCACACGGGAAUUGAGAUACGGUCCCGACUCCUACGGGAGGCAGCAGUGGGGAAUCUUGGACAAUGGGGGAAACCCUGAUCCAGCGACGCCGCGUGGGUGAUGAAGGCCUUCGGGUCGUAAAGCCCUGUCGGGGGGGAAGAAACUCUUGUCGGUAAAUAAUCGGCGAGAUUGACGGUACCCCUUAAGGAAGCACCGGCUAACUCCGUGCCAGCAGCCGCGGUAUA